rnacentral:ncRNA from 1 species
CACGAUACUGCCAAACCAUUCGCGAGGGUGGGACGGAAAGCUACGGGUCUUCUGCAACACAGAAGAUCGCCGGGUUGCCAAAG